AACGAACGCUGGCGGCAUGCCUAACACAUGCAGGUCGAACGAGACCUUCGGGUCUAGUGGCGCACGGGUGCGUAACGCGUGGGAACCUGCCCUUAGGUUCGGAAUAACUCCCCGAAAGGGGUGCUAAUACCGGAUAAUGUCUUCGGACCAAAGAUUUAUCGCCUUUGGAUGGGCCCGCGUUGGAUUAGCUAGUUGGUAGGGUAAAAGCCUACCAAGGCGACGAUCCAUAGCUGGUCUGAGAGGAUGAUCAGCCACACUGGGACUGAGACACGGCCCAGACUCCUACGGGAGGCAGCAGUGGGGAAUAUUGGACAAUGGGCGAAAGCCUGAUCCAGCAAUGCCGCGUGAGUGAUGAAGGCCUUAGGGUUGUAAAGCUCUUUUACCCGGGAUGAUAAUGACAGUACCAGGAGAAUAAGCUCCGGCUAACUCCGUG
rnacentral:rRNA from 1 species